CAGCAGCCGGUAAUACGUAGGGUGCGAGCGUUAAUCGGAAUUACUGGGCGUAAAGCGUGCGCAGGCGGUUAUAUAAGACAGAUGUGAAAUCCCCGGGCUCAACCUGGGAAUUGCAGUGGAUACUGGGUCACUAGAGUGUGGUAGAGGAUAGUGGAAUUUCCGGUGUAGCAGUGAAAUGCGCAGAGAUCGGAAGGAACAUCUGUGGCGAAGGCGACUAUCUGGGCCAACACUGACGCCGAAGCACGAAAGCGUGGGGAGCAAACAGGAUUAGAUACCCCUGUAGUCCCUGUCUCUUAUACAC
rnacentral:rRNA from 1 species